UCAGUAGCGAGUUUAUCAAUCUUCAAAAUAAAAUAAAAUGAUAUUUUGUGCAUUUAACAUGGCGUUAAGAUAAAUAUGUUGCAUGCAUCUCCCUCGGGU